GACGUAGGGCGCAAGCGUUGUCCGGAUUUAUUGGGCGUAAAGAGCGUGUAGGCGGCCAGGCAGGUCCGUUGUGAAAACUCGAGGCUCAACCUCGAGACGUCGAUGGAAACCGUCUGGCUAGAGUCCGGAAGAGGAGAGUGGAAUUCCUGGUGUAGCGGUGAAAUGCGCAGAUAUCAGGAAGAACACCUAUGGCGAAGGCAGCUCUCUGGGACGGUACUGACGCUGAGACGCGAAAGCGUGGGGAGCGAACAGG
rnacentral:rRNA from 1 species